UUCUUUUCUAGAAUACUCAUUAUCUGCUUUACAUCCUCUAUGCGAAAGUGUUCAAUUUUCAUAAGGUCUUCUUGACGCGUAUUCAAAAGGUCGAAUAAUGUAUGUAUAUUGGACUUUUUGAGACAAUUAUAGAUCCUGGGAGACAUUUCUGAUUGGUCAAUAAAAAUCGAUUUCAAUGCGAUUUCUUUUUUCUUUUUCGUUAGUUUAGCCAAUCUAUCAUGAAAAGUAAAAAAGGGUAAAGUAACCUUGUAUUGAUUGUUCUCUAAAGGUAAGUUUUCGUCUUCUGCCUGGAGAAAGGGAAUAAAUAAAUCAAUCAAACUCCGGGAGGCUUCAUGAAGUGCUUCUUUAGGAGUUAAACUUCCGUUUGUCCAUAUUUCUAGAAAAAGGAUCUCUUGUUUUUCAUUGCCAUUCCCAUAAGACUGAAUACUAUGAUUCGCAUUUCGAACAGGCAUGAAUACAGCAUCGAUAGGAUAACAAUUUCCGUCUUGAAAGGUAUUUGGCGUUUUUAUAUUAUAUCCUCGACUCCUCUCGAUUUGUAAUCCAAUAGACAAAUCAAUUGGUUCUGUUAGGCUAGCUAUGUGCUGCGUAUUAUCAACGAUUUCCACAGAAGGCGGCAAGAGGAUGUCUUGAGCAGUUACAUAUCCCGGGCCUUUGACACAAAUAAGCGCGUCACAAGUUCCAUAAAGAUUACUUCUCAAUACAAUAUCUUUCAAAUUCAUUAAAAUUUCAUGUACCGAUUCUUGAAUACCCACUAUGGUAGAAUAUUCGUGUGGAAUUUUUUCAGAUUUUGCGCGUGUAAUACAUGUUCCUUCUAUUUCUCCAAGCAAAACUCUUCGCAUCGCAAUGCCUAUUGUGUCGGCUUGACCUUUCAUAAGUGGAGACAAAAUAAAGCGCCCAUAAUAAAGACGCUUACUGUCUGCUCUUGAUUCAACACACUUCCACUGUAGUGUCCGAGUAGAUACUUUUACUUUCUCUCGAACCAUAGUAAUAUUAUUUGUCAGAUCAUUGAGUCAUUUAUUUCUCUUGAAAUCUCUUCAAUGUUUAUUUCUACACCCGUCUUUUUUUAGGGGGUCUGCAACCAUUGUGUGGCAUAGGGGUUACAUCCCGUACGAAAUUUAAAAGGAUACCGCUUCUACGAAUAGCUCGUAAUGCCGCAUCUCUUCCGAGACCAGGACCCUUUAUCAUGACUUCUGCUCGUUGCAUACCUUGAUCCGCUACUGCUCGAAUAGCAUUUCCUGCUGCGGUUUGAGCAGCAAAAGGCGUACCUCUUCUUGUACCCCUGAAUCCACAAGUACCGGCCGAGGACCAAGAAAUUACCCGACCCCGGACAUCUGUAACAGUCACAAUGGUGUUGUUGAAACUUGCUUGAACAUGAAUAACGCCCUUUGGUAUUCGACGUCCACUUUUACGUGAACCGAUCCGUCCCGGCCUACGUGAACCACUUCGUGGUGGAGAUUUUGCCAUAUUUGAUCAUUUCAUAAAUAUAAGUCAGAGAUAUAUGGAUAUAUCCAUUUCAUGUCAAAACCGAUCUUUUAUGUUGAUUUGUUCAUCGGUUACUUUCUAAACUUUUCGAAAGAUUAUCCUUGUCUUUGUUUAUGUCUCGGGUUGGAACAAAUUACUAUAAUCCGUCCCCUCCUGCGGAUCAGUCGACAUUUUUCACAAAUUUUACGAACUGAAGCCCUUAUUUUCAUAAUUGUUAUUCCUUAAAUGAAUUUCGAAUCUCCUUAUUGGAAGUUGGAAGAAAAUAAGUUUCUUGAAAUUUUUGAACCGCGAUUUGUAUCCCCCUGAAAGGAAUGUUGAAAAAUCACCUAAUCACUCAAAUCCUUUUGUGUAGUCUAUAUAUUAUUAUUAUAUCCUCCAGUUGAAUCUGAAUCAUAACGACUUCCUUCAAUUUUGCCUCUAGCCACCGGGAGUAGAUGUAGAAAAACGGGUCGCAUCCCUCCUGAAACAUAAUCUAGAAUCUUACUUCGCUCUCUAAACUAUCUAAAAGAACCCGGAGCAUACCUUUGGUAAGUUAUUCGGUAAUUAAACCUCGAGGAAUCCUCCCUUUUUUUUUCUCACAACAUAAAAGUAAGCUCCAAAUACAAUUCGGAUAGCAGAAUAAUUACCAUAUAUAACACAAAAUUUCUCCACCGAUUCUUUCCAGUCGAGCCGCUCGGUCUGUCAUUAUACCCCGAGAAGUAGAGAGAAUUACAAUCCCCAUCCCAUCUAAAAUUCUAGGAAUUCGUCGAUAGUUAAAAUAGAUUCGUAGACCGGGUCGACUGAUUCGUUUUAAAUUUAAAAUGGGUCUAUACGGCCCUUUCCUAUUCCUUCGAUGUCGUAGGGUUAAAACCAAAAACUCUUUUUUGUUUUUGUUUUCCACGAGUUUCCUUGCGUUUUCGAUAAAACCCUCUCGCAAAAGGAUUUUAACAACGUUUUCGGUGAUGUUAGUAGAUGCUAUUCGAACCGUUCCCUUUCUAUUCAUGUCAGCAUUUCGUAUAGAAGUUAUUAUGUCAGCAAUAGUGUCCUUGCCCAUGAUAAACUGAAAAUUUUGUUGCUUCCAAAUUUUGAUAUAAUCAACAUGUUCUUUUUUUUAUGAAAAUUAUUAAAAGUAUAUGCGUGAGACAUACUCUACUAAAUUUUGAUUUAUCUAUUUUAUUUUCAUACUAUCACUAUAUCGCGGUCCCCUCUUAUAAUACUUCAGGUGCUAAUGAAACUAUUUUAGUAAAAUUCAACUGUCUCAAUUCCCGGGCGAUCGCACCAAAAACUCGAGUUCCCUUUGGAUUUCCUUCGUGAUCAAUGACAACUGCAGCAUUGUCAUCGUACCGUAUUAUCAUACCGUUAUCACGUCUGAGUUCUUUACAAGUACGUACAAUUACAGCUCUGAUCACUUCUGAUCUUUCUAGAGGCGUAUUGGGUACUGCUUCCUUGAUCACAGCAACAAUAACGUCACCAAUAUGAGCAUAUCUACGAUUACUGGCUCCUAUGAUUCGAAUACACAUCAAUUCUCGGGCACCGCUAUUGUCUGCUACAUUCAAAUGGGUUUGAGGUUGAAUCAUAUCGUUUUUUGAGUCCGUUUUUUUAAUGUUUAAUUUAAAGUAAAGCACUGAAAGGACGAAGUAAAAAAAAAAAGGGAAGACCCGCAUUUUUUAUACCCAAGAUUUAUUUCCUUUGUUUCGACAUUCCUAUCCCGAAAUAAUGAAUUGAGUUCUUAUAGGCAUUUUGGACGCCGCUAUUGAAAUAGCCUUUCGAGCUAUAUUUUCAGCUACUCCACUCAUUUCAUAAAGUAUUCUACCCGGUUUAACGACGGCUACCCAAUAUUCGGGGGAUCCUUUACCGGACCCCAUACGGGUUUCCGUGGGUCUUAGUGUAACGGGUUUGUCUGGAAAGAUACGUACCCAUAUUUUUCCACCGCGCCGUACAUUUCGUGUCAUUGCGCGGCGCCCCGCUUCGAUUUGUCUAGAUGUGAUCCAAGCGGGUUCAAGUGCUUGAAGAGCAUAUCUGCCGAAACAAAUAUGAUUACCUCGAUAAGAUAUCCCUUUCAUUCUUCCUCUAUGUUGUUUACGGAAUCUUGUUCUUUUGGGGUUAUAAUUGAUGGUUCUUUCUCAAUGCCAUCUCUACUACAGAACUGGACAUGAGAGUUUCUUCUCAUCCAGCUCCUCGCGAAUGAAAGGACUAAAAACGAUUUUAUCAAGAUAUAGGGGAAUUUAAUGAAUAAUAUACUGAAGCAUAGGAUUUUUUGAAAGUUCAUCUAAUUAAUCUAUUCUAAAUUUGUAUAUCAUGUUUAGAUAUAGAAUUGAAACAUUUAUGUUCUAUUUAUAGAUAAUCUCAAUGUCUUUUUUUUUUUUUUAUCGUUAUAACAAAUCUUUAUUUUGUUUUGCCCUUUACCAUAUCGGAUCGAGCAAAAUGAAUCAAUCCAAUAAAAUCAAAAAAUAAACCUUUCGCGGGCGAAUAUUUACUCUUUCAAUAUCUAUUUCAGUUGUAGGGUUAGUUCAUGACCUCUACGAAUAAAAGAAUAGUUUAGUUCCUGGGUUCGUUUCGCCAUCCCACCCAAUAAAUCAUUAAGAUUCAUUUCCAAUAGAAUCUUCUUUUUCUUUAUUCACGGGUUCCGUCGUUCCCAUUGCUUCUCGAUUAAUGGUUAGGUCUGAAUUCUCCAACGGAGCCCUUAAUGAAAUUUUUUCUUAAGUCAAUUUUCUCAGUUUUUAUUGGCUCGGGGCUCUUGAUUUUUUUUGUUCUAUGAGCGGAUUCAUCUAGUUAGGGAUGAAUCAUUAUUGAUGCUAUAUUACACUGUUUUUUAUGAGAUGACUUACAGACCUUACAUAUUGGAAUCUUAUAUCAUUGAUAUUUUCUUUCUCUCUUUCUCUCAUCCUUCCAUUUAUCCGCAUGCUUUUCGAUUUUCUUUCACAACUUCGAACUUCACAACCUACAAUCAGAUUGGGUUUUUAUGUUAUGCAAAUUUCAGUUGCUACAACGAUAUGACCACUAUAUUAUAUCUUGACUGGUUCUUUGGAUUCAGAUAAUACGAAGCAAUGAGUUGGUUAUUAGUGCUAUAGUUAUUAGUUCAUACUACAGGACGGUCCAUUUUUUGGAAUCCUAGCCCUAAAAAAAACCAACGAGUCGCACACUAAGCAUAGCAAUUAUAUAAAAAAAAAAAAAUCAAUCGAAUUUUUAUUCAACCCUAUAGAAUUGCGGAAUUUCUCAUUUUUGUUUUGAUUGAAGAUAAAAAGAGCUCGUUCUUUGUUUGGUUUAUUUCCAUUAAUGGGGGGGCUCUAAAGACCCGUAAACUCUUAUUUUUUUUCGUCUACAAAUAUCCAAAUUUUGAUUCCCAAUACCCCGUAGAUAGUUCGAACCGUAUAGGAACAAUAAUCAAUUUUAGCUCCAAUGGUUUGUAGAGGAACUCUACCUUCUCUGAUCCAUUCGGCGCGCGCAAUUUCUUUUCCGUCAAGACGCCCUGCAAUUUGUACUUGAAUUCCUUUUGUAUCGGCCUGUUCCGUUAAUUCAAUAGCUUUUUUCAUUGCUUU
rnacentral:lncRNA from 1 species